GUAGGCGCCGAACGAGCCUCUCUGGGUGUCGGCGUUCCGCGGGGGGCGCGCGUGGGCGUGGCCCCUCAGUCCACGCGUGGCCCCUAAGUCGCCGCGGCUCUCGUCUGGGACGCAGCUUUCCGGAGUAGAGCCCUGGAGGUGAUAAGUGUGAUGCUUCCGUAAUACAUUUGGAUGUUGUCAGCUAAGUUCACUUCUGAACUAAGGGGUUCCUCCAAAUGUUGGCUGAAAUUUGUCCUUGCACAUCCCAAGGCUCGUCUGCAAAGUCUACAAUUCAUAAUGGAGCUACUGUACUGGCUAUUGGAAGGAGGAGAUUCUGAAGAUAAGGAGAUUCAGCGAUCGGUCUUUGAAAUUUCCUGUGAUGUGUUUCAAUCUAGAUGCAAAGGACAUGGAAAAAUCAAAGUGCUCGAGUGGUUUAAAUAUGUUUUGGAUGUUCCUGUUUAUAGACGAUAAUACUUUUCCAAUUAAAAUCCUCAGUUGUCAUGCAGAAGAAAGUUAAGCUCUACUUGAUUGCCAAUUUUACUGAAAAUGCUUAGUAUUUUACAGUAUCACUGAAUAUAUUUUGUUUAGCCAAAGUAUAGGAAAAAUAAAAUAAAUUGUAUAGGUUGA